rnacentral:lncRNA from 1 species
UAAACUUGGGCUUUUUUUCUUCAAUCUGGCCCAUGCAUUCUAUUGACUUGAUCAUGAAGUGAACUAAAGCAUCAUUGACUCUUCUUGCAUGUGCCCUUGUCAUAGGACCUCCUAAGCCUUGCAUUGUAUCAUUUAUGUCUUGGAUUACGUCCUCAUCAUUCCCUCCUUCUUGAAAAGAAUUCGACCUCGAAUUUAGACCAUCA